rnacentral:rRNA from 1 species
UACAGAGGGUGCGAGCGUUAAUCGGAAUUAUUGGGCGUAAAGAGCUCGUAGGCGGUUCGAUAAGUCGGACGUGAAAUCUCCACGCUCAACGUGGAGGGGCCGUUCGAUACUGUCGUGACUCGAGUCCGGUAGGGGAGUGUGGAAUUCCCGGUGUAGCGGUGAAAUGCGCAGAGAUCGGGAGGAACACCCGUAGCGAAGGCGGCACUCUGGGCCGGUACUGACGCUGAGGAGCGAAAGCGUGGGGAGCAAACAGG